UAAAUUACUUUCAACAGAGUUGCGACUUAUGCCAUUCUACAAAUUAGCUCCUCUCUUUGUGCACACUUUUAAUACAGUGGUCCUCUUAAUUCAAAAUUAAUCCAAUCUUAAUUCUAAAUUAAGUAAACUAUCUAGAGUAACCUUUACUUAAUAAAGAGUAAAGUUUGCUCGGGAUUUACAUGGUAUAAUUUACUUAUAAUUCACUUAAGAAUUCAGAGUGCGAUUAAUUUUCAAAAGGAUAACAUUAUUUUUGAGAGUGUACACCUUGUUAAAAUUUUGAAUUAGAUUAAAACUAGAAUGACACAUUCCAGUGUGAAACUUCCCCGAUUUUCAUUCAGCUUAACCUGGAUUAUUGUUAGUUUGCUGAUCACCACGUGCUUCUUGGUAACAUGUCGUUGUUCAGACCAAGAUGAGUUCAUCGAGGACUAUUUUGAUCGGGUUCCAUCAACCGCACCCGGUUUUAAAUGUAAGCCGACAACUUUGGGAGAGGACGCGAGUGUCAAAGUGACCGUGUGCGAUGACCGGCAAGAAAACAAAACGGAUCUACUGAUACAGGGCGGUACCUGUUACUUAAUUCCACGCCCCCGCCCCAAACUGGGCGAUCGGUAUAAAUCCAGCUAUAUAAAAAUGUCCGGAAAUGAAUCAUACUGCAUUGAGUUACACAACGAGGCAGAUUGUGGUGGGAAAUACGACCAAAUUCGACCAGAAUAUCGAGGAAAUCGUACUCUACACAAUUUGGGUUAGGAGGUGUCCAUAUAUUACAAUUGGAGAUCCCGUUGUUCUCGGCUAAGUCUAUUUCACUUUGUGGAGCUUUCUGUAAUAAGACAAUUGCGGAAAUUAAUCCCGUCAUGGAAGCGAAUCCGGGUCCAGGCAUGGUUUCAUUGUAUCACGAGUUCGGGUACUAUGGAUACCCCAUCCACGUGAAUUUAUCCGCGGGAUGUGUCGAAAUUGAGUCCGUUUUCGCCGUUAUACGAACAUACGGCACAUGCGUGAUUUUAUACUCAUCGCCCCAUUGUGCUGAGAAAAGUGGGGAAUAUUCGUAUCAGACGAGCGGGAAAUCGUUGGAAUAUUACGAAGAGAAAAUGACCAGCUCGACGAUACCGAUCUUCCCAAAAUCUCUCCAAUUUUGCCGGGAGACUGACAUUCAGGGUAUUCGUUACAAGUUUGCAAAAAAUUCGCAAGUUUGUAAACAAAUUGGGGUCUGUAAAACAACAUGUGAUCGAUUCGGGUAGGGGUCAAGGAAUCUUAUCCUUCCCAUGUAAAUUAUAACAUGGGGCGUAUAGGUCACUCCAGGGGGGUAGGGGUCAUAAUUCCCAGAAAAUCGAUCACGUGCUUUAUGUAUGUACGGUUCUAAAAUUCGUUUGGGAAUCUUCAAUAACUACACUUUAAAUAAUUUGAUAUUAAAUUGACACCCGUGGAGAGUGCCCUCCUUUUGUGUAAUAAUUUCGGAGAAGUUUUAUCACAAAGGGAAAAUAUGUCUGUAAAAAAAUAUCGUGUACCAAACAGAGACGACGUCGUUAUUUACAAAAAAUGAGCAUUUUUAUCUAAAUAUGAAAUUUUUGUAUAAUUUUUUAAUAACGGCGUAAAACGUGUGUGCUACAGGAUUAAAUAUUUCCCUCGGUGGCAAAACCUCUUCGUGGAUAAUCAUUACCCAAAAAUUGGGUAAUGAUUGUAACUGGGCAAUUUCCCCGCGGGUGGCGAUUUAUCUCCAAAUUAUUUACAGUGUAGUAUUGUUUUCAAUUAUGUAUGUGGUCAUCGGAAUGAAUGAAUGAACUCGUAAUGAAUGCCCCCAUUAAAUCAGUUCCGGAACACGGUGAAGAAGAUGUAGAUAUUUGCAAACAAUCUCCACCCCUGAGUAACAUUGCGGCAUGGGUACAAAUUUACGUGGGGGUGUGCAUCGCUAUUUUGUCAGCAGUGGGAGGCUCAUUUGUUACCAAGUUUGUAAUAAAGAAGAAAAAUAAGAUUGGACGGAAUGUGCAAGAAGUUAAUGUUCAAUAUAAAGCAGAGGAUCAAUAAAAUAUAUUUUAUGCCAA